UGUCUCCUAGGUGACGCUCGUCCCACCCUGACGGUGCUGCCCCCCUCCAGAGAGGAGCUGCAGCAGGGGAAGGCCACGCUCAUGUGCCUGGCCAACAAGGGCUUCCCCUCAGACUGGAGUCUGUCCUGGAAGGUGGACGGCAGCAGCAGCAGCAGCUGGGAGGAGGGCAGGAGCCCAGGGGUGCUGCAGGAGGACGGCCUCUACAGCUGGAGCAGCACCCUGAGGCUCCCUGCAGACCAGUGGGAGAAGGUGGGCUCUGUGACCUGUGAGGCCACCCAGGGCUCCCACACUUCUCUCUCACAGACACUGAGGAGAGACCAGUGUUCCCAGUCCUGAGCUGACUC